AGCGAACGUUUGCGGCGGGCCUAACACAUGCAAGUCGAACGCACUAGCAAUAGUGAGUGGCGCACGGGUGCGUAACACGUGGGUAAUCAACCCUUCAGCCUGGGAUAACGACUCGAAAGGGUCGCUAAUACCGGAUACGGCGCGAGAGGGCUUCGGCUUCUCACGAGAAAGCCACGCAAGGGGCACUGAAGGACGAGCCUGCGGCCCAUCAGCUAGUUGGUGAGGUAAGAGCUCACCAAGGCUAAGACGGGUAGCUGGUCUGAGAGGAUGAUCAGCCACACUGGAACUGAGACACGGUCCAGACUCCUACGGGAGGCAGCAGUGGGGGAAUAUUGCGCAAUGGGCGAAAGCCUGACGCAGCCACGCCGCGUGAGCGAUGAAGGCCU
rnacentral:rRNA from 1 species